GGCCGCUGCCAGGACGGCCAGGGCGCAAGAAACGGCAAAGGGAGGUCAGGCUUCACAGCAGGGAGAGGAGGGACAGCACGAAGUCAGAGGAGUGAGGAGGAAGGGCCUUCCGGGGCCAUUCCAGUCCAAUCUUUCCAGAUGCAAGAAGGAAACCCAGAGAGGGGCAGGGACUUGGCCAAGGCCCCGGAGAAAGAGGAUGGCGGCACCGGGAGUCCUGCUCCGAGCCAGUCCUCCACGGCUCUUCCUCGUCCCAUCUUCACUGUGACACUUCCCUUCCACCAAGGGAGUCCACCAGUGGCCCCUCCCUGGCCUGGGUUCGGCCUGCAGAGGCUCUGGUUGGUGCCCAUCAGCUGCCGCAGGGGCCAGUGCAGCCCUCCAGCUGCAGGCCAGCGUGGAACGUGUUAGCCCCACGCUCGGUGCUUUCUCGUGGAACCUCUGCAAUGCCGAGAGCUGGCGAUGCUCCGGGGGGUUACUCCAGUCUCUGCACCCAGGAAUCACUCCUGGUGGAGCUUCAGGGAACACGAGAGCAUGUUAGAGACCUAACCUGGUUCAGCUGCAGUUAAACUGUGCCGGGACACGUUCUGUCCAUGGAGAAGGCCCAGGUUCAGUUCCCGCAUUUCAUGGUAUGCUGGUACACCGCUGGGAGUGACCCCCGAGGCAUGGAGGCAGAAGGAGCCCCUGAGCACUGCUGG